rnacentral:rRNA from 1 species
AACAUACCUAUACGUUGCCUCGGCGGAUCAGCCCGCGCCCCGUAAAACGGGACGGCCCGCCCGAGGACCCUAAACUCUGUUUUUAGUGGAACUUCUGAGUAAAACAAACAAAUAAAUCAAAACUUUCAACAACGGAUCUCUUGGUUCUGGCAUCGAUGAAGAACGCAGCAAAAUGCGAUAAGUAAUGUGAAUUGCAGAAUUCAGUGAAUCAUCGAAUCUUUGAACGCACAUUGCGCCCGCCAGUAUUCUGGCGGGCAUGCCUGUUCGAGCGUCAUUUCAACCCUCAAGCUCAGCUUGGUGUUGGGACUCGCGGUAACCCGCGUUCCCCAAAUCGAUUGGCGGUCACGUCGAGCUUCCAUAGCGUAGUAAUCAUACACAUCGUUACUGGUAAUCGUCGCGGCCUCGCCGUAAAACCCCAACUUCUGAAUGUUGACCUCGGAUCAGGUAGGAAUACCCGCUGAACUUAAGCAUAUCAAUAAGCGGAGGGAAAGAACCA